ensembl:lncRNA
UUGCACCAGAGUAAAGCCUUGUGGAUGACAGUAGGUCCACUGGAAAAGCAAUUUCUCCUCCUUGUCCCUUCUGUUGAUUUUCUGCCACAGAUAAUUCAUUCAGCUCAGUUUUGAACAGUGUGUGUUUGGUUUCUUGAAUUUGUGUGUCAGUUACUUGCACCAGAAACACAAGCAGUAAUUAAACCUUGAUUGCAGAUGUCUAAUGGUUACUUAGUGCUGUUUCACACCUGUUGGAGUCUAGACAAAAACAAGCAGAGACAGACAAGAAUGCAUGUUGCUGUGCUACAGAAAGCAGGGAGAGAAAAUGGGUUUUAAACAAGACUUGUUUGGUGUCUUACAGCCAAUUAAAGCACAUAGCAGGCUCUCAGUAACAUCAGCUGUUCCUAGGAGGGCUGGGAGGCACUGCCAUUUGCUGGGGAAGAGUGGGAUUGUAAUGUUCCUGUCAGGAGCAGAUGGGACUUCACGUUGUGCAACAGCUUGUGAUGUAUCUCAGUGCUGGUUGGGAUGUGCACUUCAUUAGGGUGCUUAAAAAUAAAGUAGAAAGAAGAAAGCUUUGGGCCUGCUUUCCCCCACCCCGCAUUACCUGGAAUUUCCUGGAUAUUUGAUGACCAAACAAAUUACAGUCUGGAAAUGUGUGAUACUUGUGAUACAAUGGUGUUAUCAUGCUCCACUGGCUGUGGGCGGGGGAAGGAAAACUGCAGGCCACAAAUGCACACAAGGUCCAUUGAAACAACUGUCCUACCUUCUAAAAUCUGAGUUGUGAAGUAAAUACAGAGUGGACGUUGUUAUCUUCUCUUACUUUGUAUCACAAAGGCCCAGACCUCAUUCCUGGUGAAUUUCACCCCAUUCAGUGCUGCCCUGGUGUGAGGGAGUGAACAGAGCAGGAAGGUGCUGCAGUGGAGAAGGUCCCUUUACAAGCUAUGAUGAUUACUCUCAGCAAGCAUCAAGCAAGUUAAAACCCCUUUAUCGAAGUCUGUUAUGUGCUGUCGACAAGCUUCAGUCUAACAAGAAACCAGUUUUCCAGAAGCCUGCAGUCCCCUGCCUGUGAUCUCUAGAUGUCUCUGUUGUCCCAAUACCAGAACAUAUGAAAAAGGCAGGGUUAGCAGAACACUCGCAGUGUUUGGAUGUCAUCACGUGAUGGAGCUGAGCAAGUGGCCUCAGCAAGGCUGUGCUUGGAGAAAAACUUCCUGUGCCAAACAGCAGAUAAGAUGACAGCACAGGAGGUCAGCUCUCCUUCCCCGUCUCCACAGCUUGCUCUGCUUUUGGUGUUCCUAGAAGGGUGAGAUGCCCUGAUCUGACCCCAAGUCACUGCUUUCCUGGCAAACUGCAGGGAGCACUGCUCACUUGCCCAGAGUUUGCUUGGUCAUAGAAUCACCAAUUAUCCCAAGUUGGAAAGGACCCGUAAGGAUCAUGGAGUCCACCUGGGUCCUGCUGGCUGCUGGGACCUGGUGUGCUCUGGUAGUGCUCAAGUGGCUCCAUGGGUACCUGCCUUCGUGUCACCGCUUUGAACAGCUGUAAGAUUUCUCAUCUCUUCUGUUUAUAAUUCAAUGGAAAACCAUGGAAAUGGAAAAACUUGGACCUUCAGUGCCUUGUUCAGACUUCGAGAAGUUGCCUGUUGCCUUGCAGAGUUGGUUGGAGUAGGGAAGAUAAUGGGUGGGGCAGAUGGGCACUGCCUGAGUUCUGUUUCCUUAAGAAAAAUCAUGAAGUAUUUCAAAUGAGAGGAGCCAAGAGUUCCUGAGGUCGUCUGGGAAUGCUGAGUGCUGUCUUGGGAGCCGUCUUGGAAACCUUUUUGUUGAGGAGAAUAAUUAUAGCGUGGCAGAAGUAUGUACUUGCCAGGUAUUUGCCUGCUUUAUUUGUACUGUAUUCUUCCAUUGCUGAAUUGUAAGAUGAAAAACCUUAAGACAUAUGCCCAGAAGUUACUAACUUCCCAUUCUUCUGACGUUCACAUGACUGAGUGCAGGUUUAGAAAUACUAUAAAAGUGCCAGGCCGUGGCUUGAAAUAUCUCAUUACCAGGUGUAUAAGUCAGGCUGCUUAUAAUUUCAUUCAGAGAUUGUUGAGUUUUUUGUGCUUUUCUUUUCCUGUUGGUCUUCUCAUGAGAAUGCCAAAAAGGGAAAAAACUAUUACAAAAACAACAACAACAAAAAAAGCUGCUUGGAUUGAAAAUAAAACUGCUGAGCCAGCAGUAGCUUUCAAUAGUUCUUGCACUGUUUUGUGGCUCUGACUGUAUGUUGUUUCACAAGCCUGUGGGAUGCUGCAUGGGGUGAGGGUCUCAUACGGGCACGAAGGUGCUGUUUUUCAGCAUGCUGUGGGAUAUUUAUUUUGAUGCGGGGACCUGACAAGUAGACAGGGAGUAAAACCCCAGGUGCUGAGUUACAGCAGUGAGUUGGCUGAAGUUGGAUAAGUGUCCCCCGUAGCAGCUGAGGACUUGAGGAUCUCCACGUCAGCUGGAGCACGUGCUGCUGGGGAUGAGAGUGUCACAGCUUGUGUACCAGCAGCCAAAGCACUGCCUGUGGGAAGACUGCCAUCUUGUUGCUGCCUCUCAGCAAAAUGUACCGUGGUGCAGGAAGGUUCCUGCUGCCCGAGGCACACUCAGAGCCACCUCAGUGCCACAAUGGGAGGUGACAGUGCCCCAGAAUGGCCUGUGUUUGUGGACUGUUGCUGUGGCCCUCUCUUCCCUGCUUUCCAUGGCAGGGAAACUUGGAGACAUGGCAACCAAUUUGAAAAUAACAAACACUUAAAGCUAUAUGAAAAGCAUCUUGCAUAGAAAAUCAGUCAGGGCAGGAGAAACAGCACUUAGCAUCAAUAUAAUACAGCUGAAAUCUAUUUCUUAGAGAUAAUCAUCUCUGACUCCAGCAGUAAAAAUAAAGGACAAAAGCUGGAGGAAGGCAGAAAGAGCAGCUGUGGGAGUGAAUCGUGGUGAAAUUAACAUUAAAAACACAAGGAAAGGCAUAGAAUUACCUUAAGUAAAAACAGAGCUGUCUGCCUAGAACAACAGCUGAGAUUAUAUGGGAAGAACGGGGCAGUAUGGGGAAUGGUCCUUGUUCAGGUCCCUGUUUUCACACCCAAUCUGAAGUAUAAAGUAAUCUAUGGUCAGUCUGGAGGAUAAGGGCUGAUCCUGGCCAGUGCCCACUCCUGCCUGGUGAAGUUCAUCCCUGAACCAGUGACCUUUAAUAGACAGUACCUUCUGAACUCACCUUUCUCAAUGAAUUUCAGUGAGGUUCACGUUUAAAGGUCUGUGCAAGGAACUCUUGAUCCAAAGCUCAAAAAACUGAAGGUAAGACUUUCACAUGUACAGGUCCACCUCCCACCAGGCUGUGAUGGCUCUGAGAGGCAGUGCUGCCCAAUGAACCCAGCUGAGGCAGCCCACAGAGUUUGUUGGUGUUGUGCUGUGUGGGAGCAUGGUCUUGUGCAAAUCAGUCACAAAACCAGGCUCUGUAUGAUGUUUCUCACUUCAGGCUUUAGGUGAUCAUUUACAGAGCCUAUGUUUAAAAAUACGUGUUGGUUUUUAAGCUACAGGUGAUGCCUGGCCUUUUAUCAAAGGAGGCCAAUGUGGGGUGUGAAUUCCUAUGUCUUGUGAUUCUUCUGGGCUGACCUUGAUGAAUUUGUUAUGCUAGGUGUCAUAAAAAUCAAACUGCUUGGUAAACCAUGUGCUAUUUCCCACAACACCAGAGAAGCACCUGGGGCCCCUUUGGUUCUCAGAGACGACACACAAAGGCUGGUGCAACUCUCCUGUCUGCUGCUGACUGCUCCCUUCCAGAGCUGCCACGGUAUUUUUAGAUGCAAAGGAGAAAUGUCUCCUAACUACAUGCUAAUGACAUUUUCAAUGCUUCAG